GGGUUGUGAGGUUAAGCGACUAAGCGUACACGGUGGAUGCCCUGGCAGUCAGAGGCGAUGAAGGACGUGCUAAUCUGCGAAAAGCGUCGGUAAGGUGAUAUGAACCGUUAUAACCGGCGAUGUCCGAAUGGGGAAACCCAGUGCAAUUCGUUGCACUAUCGUUAACUGAAUACAUAGGUUAACGAGGCGAACCGGGGGAACUGAAACAUCUAAGUACCCCGAGGAAAAGAAAUCAACCGAGAUUCCCCCAGUAGCGGCGAGCGAACGGGGAGCAGCCCAGAGUCUGAAUCAGCUUGUGUGUUAGUGGAACGGUCUGGAAAGUCCGACGGUACAGGGUGAUAGUCCCGUACACCAAAAUGCACAGGUUGUGAACUCGAAGAGUAGGGCGGGACACGUGGUAUCCUGUCUGAAUAUGGGGGGACCAUCCUCCAAGGCUAAAUACUCCUGACUGACCGAUAGUGAACCAGUACCGUGAGGGAAAGGCGAAAAGAACCCCGGCGAGGGGAGUGAAAAAGAACCUGAAACCGUGUACGUACAAGCAGUGGGAGCACCUUCGGGUGUGACUGCGUACCUUUUGUAUAAUGGGUCAGCGACUUAUAUUCUGUAGCAAGGUUAACCGUAUAGGGGAGCCGCAGGGAAACCGAGUCUUAACUGGGCGUUAAGUUGCAGGGUAUAGACCCGAAACCCGGUGAUCUAGCCAUGGGCAGGUUGAAGGUUGGGUAACACUAACUGGAGGACCGAACCGACUAAUGUUGAAAAAUUAGCGGAUGACUUGUGGCUGGGGGUGAAAGGCCAAUCAAACCGGGAGAUAGCUGGUUCUCCCCGAAAGCUAUUUAGGUAGCGCCUCGUGAACUCAUCUUCGGGGGUAGAGCACUGUUUCGGCUAGGGGGUCAUCCCGACUUACCAACCCGAUGCAAACUACGAAUACCGAAGAAUGUUAUCACGGGAGACACACGGCGGGUGCUAACGUCCGUCGUGAAGAGGGAAACAACCCAGACCGCCAGCUAAGGUCCCAAAGUCAUGGUUAAGUGGGAAACGAUGUGGGAAGGCACAGACAGCCAGGAUGUUGGCUUAGAAGCAGCCAUCAUUUAAAGAAAGCGUAAUAGCUCACUGGUCGAGUCGGCCUGCGCGGAAGAUGUAACGGGGCUAAACCAUGCACCGAAGCUGCGGCAGCGACACUAUGUGUUGUUGGGUAGGGGAGCGUUCUGUAAGCCUGCGAAGGUGACCUGUGAGGGUUGCUGGAGGUAUCAGAAGUGCGAAUGCUGACAUAAGUAACGAUAAAGCGGGUGAAAAGCCCGCUCGCCGGAAGACCAAGGGUUCCUGUCCAACGUUAAUCGGGGCAGGGUGAGUCGACCCCUAAGGCGAGGCCGAAAGGCGUAGUCGAUGGGAAACAGGUUAAUAUUCCUGUACUUGGUGUUACUGCGAAGGGGGGACGGAGAAGGCUAUGUUAGCCGGGCGACGGUUGUCCCGGUUUAAGCAUGUAGGCUGGUUAUCCAGGCAAAUCCGGAUAAUCAAGGCUGAGGUGUGAUGACGAGGCACUACGGUGCUGAAGUAACAAAUGCCCUGCUUCCAGGAAAAGCCUCUAAGCAUCAGGUAACAUCAAAUCGUACCCCAAACCGACACAGGUGGUCAGGUAGAGAAUACCAAGGCGCUUGAGAGAACUCGGGUGAAGGAACUAGGCAAAAUGGUGCCGUAACUUCGGGAGAAGGCACGCUGGUGUGUAGGUGAAGUCCCUGCGGAUGGAGCUGAGACCAGUCGAAGAUACCAGCUGGCUGCAACUGUUUAUUAAAAACACAGCACUGUGCAAACACGAAAGUGGACGUAUACGGUGUGACGCCUGCCCGGUGCCGGAAGGUUAAUUGAUGGGGUUAUCCGUAAGGAGAAGCUCUUGAUCGAAGCCCCGGUAAACGGCGGCCGUAACUAUAACGGUCCUAAGGUAGCGAAAUUCCUUGUCGGGUAAGUUCCGACCUGCACGAAUGGCGUAAUGAUGGCCAGGCUGUCUCCACCCGAGACUCAGUGAAAUUGAACUCGCUGUGAAGAUGCAGUGUACCCGCGGCAAGACGGAAAGACCCCGUGAACCUUUACUAUAGCUUGACACUGAACAUUGAGCCUUGAUGUGUAGGAUAGGUGGGAGGCUUUGAAGCGUGGACGCCAGUCUGCGUGGAGCCAACCUUGAA
rnacentral:rRNA from 1 species